CAUCCAUAUCACGUUGAAACACCGGUUCUCGCACGAUCACCGAAGUUAAGCAACAUUGAGUCUGAUCAAUACCUAGAUGAGUAACCACUUAGGAAUACCAGGUACUGUAA